UACGGGGGGGUAAGCGUUGUUCGGAAUUACUGGGCGUAAAGGGCUCGUAGGCGGCCAACUAAGUCAGACGUGAAAUCCCUCAGCUUGACUGGGGAACUGCGUCUGAUACUGGAUGGCUUGGAUUCGGGAGAGGAAUGCGGAAUUCCAGGUGUAGCGGUGAAAUGCGUAGAUAUCUGGAGGAACACCGGUGGCGAAGGCGGCAUUCUGGACCGACAUUGACGCUGAGGAGCGAAAGCCAGGGGAGCAAACGGG
rnacentral:rRNA from 1 species